GUGUCAGCCGCCGCGGUAAUACGUAGGGGUCGAGCGUUGUCCGGAGUUACUGGGCGUAAAGCGCGCGCAGGCGGUCGGCUAAGCCCGGCGUGAAAGCCCCCGGCUCAACCGGGGAGGGUCGUCGGGGACUGGUCGACUUGAGGGCGGCAGGGGCUGGUGGAAUCCCCGGUGUAGUGGUGAAAUGCGUAGAGAUCGGGGGGAACACCCGUGGCGAAGGCGGCCAGCUGGGCCGACUCUGACGCUGAGGCGCGAAGGCGUGGGGAGCGAACGGGAUUAGAUACCCUGGUAGUCC
rnacentral:rRNA from 1 species